CCAGACUCCUACGGGAGGCAGCAGUGGGGGAUAUUGCACAAUGGGGGAAACCCUGAUGCAGCGAUGCCGCGUGAAUGAAGACGGCCUUCGGGUUGUAAAGUUCUGUCGCAGGGGACGAAAAUGACGGUACCCUGCAAGAAAGCUCCGGCUAACUACGUGCCAGCAGCCGCGGUAAUACGUAGGGGGCAAGCGUUAUCCGGAAUUACUGGGUGUAAAGGGUGAGUAGGCGGCAUGGUAAGCCAGAUGUGAAAGCCUUGGGCUUAACCCGAGGAUUGCAUUUGGAACUAUCAAGCUAGAGUACAGGAGAGGAAAGCGGAAUUCCUAGUGUAGCGGUGAAAUGCGUAGAUAUUAGGAAGAACACCAGUGGCGAAGGCGGCUUUCUGGACUGAAACUGACGCUGAGGCACGAAAGCGUGGGGAGCGAACAGGAUUAGAUACCCGAGUA
rnacentral:rRNA from 1 species